rnacentral:rRNA from 1 species
GACGAACGCUGGCGGCGUGCCUAAUACAUGCCAGUCGAACGCUGAAGGAGGAGCUUGCUUCUCUGGAUGAGUUGCGAACGGGUGAGUAACGCGUAGGUAACCUGCCUGGUAGCGGGGGAUAACUAUUGGAAACGAUAGCUAAUACCGCAUAAGAGUAGCUGUUGCAUGACAUUUGCUUAAAAGGUGCAAUUGCAUCACUACCAGAUGGACCUGCGUUGUAUUAGCUAGUUGGUGGGGUAACGGCUCACCAAGGCGACGAUACAUAGCGGACCGGAGAGGGGGAUCGGCCACACUGGGACUGUGACACGCCCCAGACGCAUACGGGAGGCAGCAGUAGGGAAUCUUCGGCAAGGGGCGGAAGUCUGACCGAGCAACGCCGCGUGAGUGAAGAAGGUUUUCGGAUCGUAAAGCUCUGUUGUAAGAGAAGAACGAGUGUGAGAGUGGAAAGUUCACACUGUGACGGUAUCGUACCAGAAAGGGACGGCUAACUACGUG